AUUGAACGCUGGCGGCAGGCUUAACACAUGCAAGUCGAGCGAGCGGCGGACGGGUGAGUAAUGUCUGGGAAACUGCCUGAUGGAGGGGGAUAACUACUGGAAACGGUAGCUAAUACCGCAUACCAUCAGAUGUGCCCAGUUGGGAUUAGCUAGUAGGUGGGGUAAUGGCUCACCUAGGCGACGCUCCCUAGCUGGUCUGAGAGGAGGACCAGCAACACGGGAACUGAGACACGGUCCAGCCUCCUAGGGGAGGCAGCAGUGGGGAAUAUUGCACAAUGGGCGCAAGCCGGAUGUAGCCAGGCGGGGUGUGUGAAGAAGGCCUUCGGGUUGUAAAGCACUUUCAGCGAGGAGGCGUUACUCGCAGAAGAAGCACCGGCUAACUCCGUGCCAGCAGCCGCGGUAAUU
rnacentral:rRNA from 1 species